UAAUCUCUUGUAACACUCCGUAAACCGAGACCUCUAGGGUGUAUAAACACGUCUCUAAUACCUCAGGCGGAGGGUGUCUGAGGAAUAUUCAUACUA
rnacentral:ncRNA from 1 species